rnacentral:rRNA from 1 species
GAUGAACGCUGGCGGCGUGCUUAACACAUGCAAGUCGAACGUGAUCCAGCAGCAAUGUUGGUGAAAGUGGCAAACGGGUGAGUAACACGUAGAUGACCUGCCUCGGAGUGGGGGAUAACCACGGGAAACUGUGGCUAAUACCGCAUGGUUUGUCUGGUCUGGGAAGGCGAGACAAUAAAGCUUUAGUGCUCUGAGAGGGGUCUGCGUCCGAUUAGCUAGUUGGGGAGGUAACGGCUCACCAAGGCGAUGAUCGGUAGCUGGUCUGAGAGGACGAUCAGCCACACGGGAACUGCGACACGGUCCCGACUCCUACGGGUGGCAG